CCUUACCCACUGGAUAUCAUUAUCUCACAAGUCAGUUCUGUGUUUACCUCUCUGUCGAACAGUGUUUUAGUCUUCUAGUGAUCGCAAAACGUUACUAACAGUCUUAAUAAUCAAUACGUUUGGCAAUCAAGUGAUUUAGGCUUUUCUGGAAAAGUGUUCGUAUUUUAAAAUUGGCUUGGUAAACUAUAACAGUAAUGUUCCCAAUUGUUUAUCUGAGCACUAUUUUGGUUAUGAUGUUGUUUAUUUUCAUCUGUGAAUCGAUCGUGGUUAUGAUUUCUUUUCAGGAGUGAUAUCGGCUUUUUGCGGUAUGUUUUGACCACAGAAAUAGCAAAAUCAUUAUUACAUUGCUGUAGUAGGGUGAUUAUACUGGGAUUCUCAAAUCACGGCUGCCAUAAAACCGACCUUCUGGAGACCAGGAAGAAGCAGAAUCAGUGUUGCCAACAUUCGUGCGAUCAGGUGGUGCCAACCCUUCGCAUCCGCUUUCUCCGCCGUCUCACUCCGAGACAUGACGCUGUUCGACAACCUCCUCAGGAGGAUCACGGAGUUCCUGGUAGUUCUUCAGAUGUUCUUGAUGGCCUCGUGUUGGCCCACGCCAUUGGACGAGUACGAGCACGACGAGUACGAAGAGGAAGUCGAGGAACCCCAAGUGCCAGACGUUAGGAGAAGGAACCAGCUGGGAACUGUGAAUGGAUAGGACAGAAGUUACCUGACCAAGGGGAUCCUGAAUUAACUACAUACUGACAUCGGAACCUUUCCUUUAUAAUAAACUGCAGAACACUGACUAUUGACUAUUGGCAAGUACAGUCAAGUGUGAGGUUAUAAUACCUGGUAAGCGUUAAACACAGUUAAAGGUAACUCGAAAAUGACGAAUUUUGAAUGAACUUGAUCAAAACAGCUGUUUUAUGAAUUAUAAAACAUUGUUAUUUCCUAAAUAUGAAAACGAGGUUGAUAACAUACUUUCCUUAUUUGUUAAAAUAGAAAAUAUUUUAGUUUUGUUUCUUUACCAACAUAAUAAGGAAAGUAGUGUAGUUUUACGUUUGAUGUAAUGUUGUUUUAUUGUUGAUAUAAAUAUUUUAUUGUUUAUAAACAUCUCCUUAUUUACCUUAACGACGUGCACCAUUGAUGUAAAUAUUUUGUAUAACGUAACGCACAAAAAAGUCUGGUCAAUAAAAACAAAAUGCGCU